AUUGAACGCUGGCGGCAUGCUUUACACAUGCAAGUCGAACGGCAGCGCGGGCUUCGGCCUGGCGGCGAGUGGCGAACGGGUGAGUAAUGCAUCGGAACGUGCCCAGUAGUGGGGGAUAGCCCGGCGAAAGCCGGAUUAAAACCGCAUACGACCUGAGGGUGAAAGCGGGGGACCGAAAGGCCUCGCGCUAUUGGAGCGGCCGAUGUCGGAUUAGCUAGUUGGUGGGGUAAAGGCUUACCAAGGCGACGAUCCGUAGCUGGUCUGAGAGGACGACCAGCCACACUGGGACUGAGACACGGCCCAGACUCCUACGGGAGGCAGCAGUGGGGAAUUUUGGACAAUGGGGGCAACCCUGAUCCAGCCAUGCCGCGUGCGGGAAGAAGGCCUUCGGGUUGUAAACCGCUUUUGUUCGGGAAGAAAUCCUCUGGGCUAAUACCCCGGGGGGAUGACGGUACCGGAAGAAUAAGCACCGGCUAACUACGUG
rnacentral:rRNA from 1 species